GAUCAGGGCUCAGGAUGAACGCUAGCUACAGGCUUAACACAUGCAAGUCGAGGGGCAGCAUGAACUUAGCUUGCUAAGUUUGAUGGCGACCGGCGCACGGGUGAGUAACACGUAUCCAACCUGCCGAUGACUCGGGGAUAGCCUUUCGAAAGAAAGAUUAAUACCCGAUGGCAUAGUUCUUCCGCAUGGUAGAACUAUUAAAGAACUUCGGUCAUCGAUGGGGAUGCGUUCCAUUAGG
rnacentral:rRNA from 1 species